rnacentral:rRNA from 1 species
CCCGCACAAGCGGUGGAGCAUGUGGUUAAUUCGAUGCAACGCGAAGAACUUACCUGGGCUUGACAUCCCGAGAAUCCCCUGGAAACAGGGGAGUGCCCUUCGGGGAGCUCGGAGACAGGUGCUGCAUGGCUGUCGUCAGCUCGUGUCGUGAGAUGUUGGGUUAAGUCCCGCAACGAGCGCAACCCUUGUCUUUAAUUGCCAUCAUUGAGUUGGGCACUUUAAAGAGACUGCCGGUGUUAAACCGGAGGAAGGUGGGGAUGACGUCAAGUCCUCAUGGCCUUUAUGCCCAGGGCUACACACGUGCUACAAUGGGUGGUACAAAGAGAGGCAAGCUCGCGAGAGUAAGCAAAUCUCAAAAAGCCAUCCUCAGUUCGGAUUGGAGUCUGCAACUCGACCCCAUGAAGUCGGAAUCGCUAGUAAUCGCGGAUCAGCACGCCGCGGUGAAUACGUUCCCGGGCCUU